rnacentral:rRNA from 1 species
CCAGCAGCCGCGGUAAUUCCAGCUCCAAUAGCGUAUAUUAAAGUUGUUGCAGUUAAAACGCUCGUAGUCUGAUGUAAUGGGGACUGGUGUGGGGAGCAGCAAUGCUCUUUGCUUCGGUCCUCAUCAACGGGACAGCAAUGUCCCAUUUUACUUUGAGGAAAUUAGAGUGUUCAAAGCAGGCGAUUGCUUGAAUACUGCAGCAUGGAAUAAUGGAAUAGGACUUUGGUGCUAUUUCGUUGGUUAAUGGGACCGAAGUAAUGAUUAAAAGGGACAGUUGGGGCCGUUUAUAUUUCGUUGUCAGAGGUGAAAUUCUUGGAUUUACGAAAGAUAAACUUCUGCGAAAGCAUUCGGCAAGGAUGUUUUCA